UCUUUUUCCACCGGAGCUUGCUCCAGCGGAAAAAGANGAGUGGCGAACGGGUGAGUAACACGUGGGUAACCUGCCCAUCAGAAGGGGAUAACACUUGGAAACAGGUGCUAAUACCGUAUAACAAUCNAAACCGCAUGGUUUUGAUUUGAAAGGCGCUUUCGGGUGUCGCUGAUGGAUGGACCCGCGGUGCAUUAGCUAGUUGGUGAGGUAACGGCUCACCAAGGCCACGAUGCAUAGCCGACCUGAGAGGGUGAUCGGCCACAUUGGGACUGAGACACGGCCCAAACUCCUACGGGAGGCAGCAGUAGGGAAUCUUCGGCAAUGGACGAAAGUCUGACCGAGCAACGCCGCGUGAGUGAAGAAGGUUUUCGGAUCGUAAAACUCUGUUGUUAGAGAAGAACAAGGAUGAGAGUAACUGUUCAUCCCUUGACGGUAUCUAACCAGAANGCCACGGCUAACUACGUGCCAGCAGCCGCGGUAAUACGUAGGUGGCAAGCGUUGUCCGGAUUUAUUGGGCGUAAAGCGAGCGCAGGCGGUUUCUUAAGUCUGAUGUGAAAGCCCCCGGCUCAACCGGGGAGGGUCAUUGGAAACUGGGAGACUUGAGUGCAGAAGAGGAGAGUGGAAUUCCAUGUGUAGCGGUGAAAUGCGUAGAUAUAUGGAGGAACACCAGUGGCGAAGGCGGCUCUCUGGUCUGUAACUGACGCUGAGGCUCGAAAGCGUGGGGAGCAAACAGGGAUUAGAUACCCUGGUAGUCCACGCCGUAAACGAUGAGUGCUAAGUGUUGGAGGGUUUCCGCCCUUCAGUGCUGCAGCUAACGCAUUAAGCACUCCGCCUGGGG
rnacentral:rRNA from 1 species